rnacentral:lncRNA from 1 species
UUCUGAUAUGAUGCAGCCUCAUUAAUUUUUAAGAAGCAAGUUGGAUGUGUGACACUCCAACCACAGUGUAGGCCAGUAAACAAAAAAGACAAGCUCAACAAUCUGCAGCCCAUAAGCCAAUAAACCGAGUUGCAUAAGGUCCAAAUAGUGGUCAGAAGGUCCAAACUCCAAACAAAUGUCUCAUUUCAUUUAUUAAGUGAAAUAACAUCAUUACCUGCAAGAUUGGUAAUGGCAUGAGAUAACCCAAGAGCAGUACUGAUCCCUUUGGCCCCCCCU